rnacentral:rRNA from 1 species
CAGUCGCCGCGGUAAAACCAGCACCUCGAGUGGUCAGGAGGUUUAUUGGGCCUAAAGCAUCCGUAGCCGGUUGCAUAAGUUUUCGGUUAAAUCUAUGCGCUUAACGUAUAGGCCGCCGAAAAUACUGUGCAGCUAGGGAGUGGGAGAGGUACACGGUACUCGAUAGGAAGGGGUAAAAUCCUUUGAUCUAUUGAUGACCACCUGUGGCGAAGGCGGUGUACCAGAACACGUUCGACGGUGAGGGAUGAAAGCUGGGGGAGCAAACCGGAUUAGAUACCCCAGUAGUCCCUGUCUCUUAUAC